rnacentral:piRNA from 1 species
UUAAUAUUAGGAUGCAGUACAAUGUACC